AUGCAGCUCUGGACGAUCGAGGGCGCGGUCGAGGCCAUUGGCGACAAGGUCAUCGUCAACCGCCUCGACAGCCGGACCCACGAGCGCGUCGACACCAAGCUGUUCGCUUGCUGGGUCUGGUGCUGGGAUGUUGCCCACAUCCCCACGAAGCGCACAAUUUGGAAGCACGCCCGGGGCGCAGGACGCGUCAACGAGAUGGUGGGCUACUCCCCGCCGAGUCGCGCCGUUGCGCCACCGCCAGAGCUGCUGCAGUACGAUCUGCUCAUCCACCUAGACCACGUAGAAGACUGGACCCCGUUCUCGCCGCGCUCCUCCAACUCGCCGCAGUCCCCUUUGAUGACGACGAGCCUGACGAGCGCCCCUUCCCAAGGAUCGAGCCGGGCGUCUGGGCGGAGCGCGUGGAGGACGGCCGGUCGGCGCUUGCCCCGGCACCUACCCUGCGUCCCCAACCCCGUGUCGCUUCGACAGGGUGCAGGGGCAUGCCGGCCACUGAGGGCCGGUGCGACGACGACGGGGGUGACCCCGGGUUCCAGAGGCGGAGCUGGAAGGACACGCUCCUUGGCAGGGGGCGUGCCAGUGACCGCGGCUCGGCCCCUGCCCCAGCACCACCAACGGGCCGCUCGCAUCGCUGCACCCCCGCCUCGCGCCACCGUCAGGGUGCACCGCGGGGCCGACAACUGUGCAUCGACAAGCAGGCCGCGGUCGAGCCCACCAAGACGAAGGAGGCGGUAG
rnacentral:rRNA from 1 species